rnacentral:rRNA from 1 species
GACGAACGCCUGGCGGCGUGCCUAAUACAUGCAAGUGGGACGCAAGGGAACACACUGUGCUUGCACACCGUGUUUUCUUGAGUCGCGAACGGGUGAGUAACGCGUAGGUAACCUGCCUAUUAGCGGGGGAUAACUAUUGGAAACGAUAGCUAAUCCGCAUAAUAUUAAUUAUUGCAUGAUAAUUGAUUGAAAGAUGCAAGCGCAUCACUAGUAGAUGGACCUGCGUUGUAUUAGCUAGUUGGUAAGGUAAGAGCUUACCAAGGCGACGAUACAUAGCCGACCUGAGAGGGUGAUCGGCCACACUGGGACUGAGACACGGCCCAGACUCCUACGGGAGGCAGCAGUAGGGAAUCUUCGGCAAUGGACGAAAGUCUGACCGAGCAACGCCGCGUGAGUGAAGAAGGU